CCUACGGGAGGCAGCAGUGGGGAAUAUUGGGCAAUGGGCGCAAGCCUGACCCAGCAACGCCGCGUGAAGGAAGAAGGCUUUCGGGUUGUAAACUUCUUUUACCAGGGACGAAGAAAGUGACGGUACCUGGAGAAUAAGCCACGGCUAACUACGUGCCAGCAGCCGCGGUAAUACGUAGGUGGCGAGCGUUGUCCGGAUUUACUGGGUGUAAAGGGCGCGUAGGCGGGAAUGCAAGUCAGAUGUGAAAUCCAUGGGCUUAACCCAUGAACUGCAUUUGAAACUGUAUUUCUUGAGUGUCGGAGAGGUAGACGGAAUUCCUAGUGUAGCGGUGAAAUGCGUAGAUAUUAGGAGGAACACCAGUGGCGAAGGCGGUCUACUGGACGAUAACUGACGCUGAGGCGCGAAAGCGUGGGGAGCAAACAGGAUUAGAUACCCCU
rnacentral:rRNA from 1 species